AUUGAACGCUGGCGGCAUGCUUUACACAUGCAAGUCGAACGGCAGCGCGGGCUUCGGCCUGGCGGCGAGUGGCGAACGGGUGAGUAAUGCAUCGGAACGUGCCCAGUAGUGGGGGAUAGCCCGGCGAAAGCCGGAUUAAUACCGCAUACGACCUGAGGGUGAAAGCGGGGGACCGAAAGGCCUCGCGCUAUUGGAGCGGCCGAUGUCGGAUUAGCUAGUUGGUGGGGUAAAGGCUUACCAAGGCGACGAUCCGUAGCUGGUCUGAGAGGACGACCAGCCACAGUGGGAAUGAGAGACGACCGAGACUCCUACGGGAGGCACCAGGGGGGAAUGUUGGACAAUGGGGGCAACUCUGAUCCAGCCAUGCCGCGUGCGGGAAUACGGCCUUCGGGUUGUAAGCGGCUUUUGUUCGGGAAGAAAUCCUCUGGGCUAAUACCCCGGGGGGAUGACGGUACCGGAAGAAUAAGAACCGGCUAACUACGUG
rnacentral:rRNA from 1 species